rnacentral:rRNA from 1 species
UGAGUAACCUGCCCUUGACUCUGGGAUAAGCGUUGGAAACGACGUCUAACACCGGAUACGAGCUUCAGUCGCAUGACUAGGAGCUGGAAAGAAUUUCGGUCAAGGAUGGACUCGCGGCCUAUCAGCUAGUUGGUGAGGUAACGGCCCACCAAGGCGACGACGGGUAGCCGGCCUGAGAGGGUGACCGGCCACACUGGGACUGAGACACGGCCCAGACUCCGUACGGGGGGCAG